UACAGAGGGUGCAAGCGUUGUUCGGAAUUAUUGGGCGUAAAGCGCGCGUAGGCGGUUACUUAAGUCGGAUGUGAAAGCCCUCGGCUUAACUGAGGAAGUGCCACCGAAACUGAGUAGCUAGAGUACGAAAGAGGGUCGCGGAAUUCCCGGUGUAGAGGUGAAAUUCGUAGAUAUCGGGAGGAACACCGGUGGCGAAGGCGGCGACCUGGGUCGAGACUGACGCUGAGGCGCGAAAGCGUGGGGAGCAAACAGG
rnacentral:rRNA from 1 species